rnacentral:misc_RNA from 1 species
CCUUCGAGACGUCGCGAGCUGCGUGUCCAGAUGACAGCGCAGUCGCGAACGUCAUCUGUAUCGAGGGACUGUUUCGAGCGAUCGGUGGGCCUAAGACCCCCACGCCCGCUUAGUGUUCCGCAUCCGAGGGCACGAGAAGUCACCUGUGGACCGAGGCGGCCACGACUUUCGUCGAGGCUCGUCCGGGACACGAGGACUACUUCGGGGUCCCCCUUGCAACC